rnacentral:rRNA from 1 species
UGCCCUACGGGGGGCAGCAGUGGGGAAUAUUGGGCAAUGGAGGCAACUCUUACCCAGCAAUGCCGCGUGAAUGAAGAAGGUCUUCGGAUUGUAAAGUUCUUUCAUUGGGGACGAAAAAAAUGACGGUACCCAAGGAAUAAGCCCCGGCUAACUACGUGCCAGCAGCCGCGGUAAUACGUAGGGGGCAAGCGUUGUUCGGAAUGACUGGGCGUAGAGGGUGUGUAGGCGGGGUAGCAAGUUAGAAGUGAAAUACCUAGAGCUUAACUCAGGUGCUGCUUCUAAAAAUGCUAUACUUGAGUGCAGUG